rnacentral:rRNA from 1 species
CCUACGGGGGGCAGCAGUGGGGAAUAUUGCGCAAUGGGCGAAAGCCUGACGCAGCGACGCCGCGUGAGGGAUGAAGGUCUUCGGAUCGUAAACCUCUGUCAGCAGGGAAGAACGGUCACUGUGCUAAUCAGCAGUGAAUUGACGGUACCUGAAGAAGAAGCCCCGGCUAACUACGUGCCAGCAGCCGCGGUAAUACGUAGGGGGCAAGCGUUAUCCGGAUUUACUGGGUGUAAAGGGGGCGCAGACGGCGAUGCAAGCCAGGAGUGAAAGCCCGGGGCCCAACCCCGGGACUGCUCUUGGAACUGCGUGGCUGGAGUGCAGGAGGGGUAGGCGGAAUUCGUGGUGUAGCGGUGAAAUGCGUAGAUAUCAGGAGGAACACCGGUGGCGAAGGCGGCCUGCUGGACUGCAACUGACGUUGAGGCCCGAAAGCGUGGGGAGCAAACAGGAUUAGAUACCCGGGUAGUC